rnacentral:rRNA from 1 species
UUCCGGUUGAUCCCGCCGGAUCCGACUGCUAUUCGGGUAAGACUAAGCCAUGCAAGUCGAAUGGAACAGCUUGUUCCAUGGCGAACUGCUCAGUAACAAGUAAUCAACUUACCCUUCAGUGGAGAAUAACCUCGGGAAACUGAGGCUAAUACUUCAUAGUUGGAAAUUCCUGGAAGGGUUUUCCAUCGAAAGAUAUUUCUAAAUGCGGAAAAUUCGCUGAAGGAUAGGAUCGCUUUCGAUUACGGUUGUUGGUGAGGUAAUGGCUCACCAAGCCUAUGAUCGAUAAGGGCCGUGAGAGCGGUAGCCCUGAGAUGGAUACUGAGACAAUGAUCCAGGCCUUACGAGGCGCAGCAGGCGCGAAACCUUUACAAUGCACGAAAGUGUGAUAAGGUUACCCGGAGUGCUAAAAUUAAAUUUUAGCUGUUAUAGGUGUGUAAAUAACCCUAUGAGAAAGGAGAGGGCAAGGUUGGUGCCAGCCGCCGCGGUAAAACCAGCUCUUCAAGUGGUCGGGAAUAUUAUUGGGCUUAAAGUGUCCGUAGCCGGUUUGGUAAGUUCCUGGUUAAAUCUGGCAGCUUAACUGUCAGUCAGCUAGGAAUACUACUUUACUAGAGGGUGGGAAAGGUUUGAGGUACUCCAGGGGUAGCGGUGAAAUGCGAUAAUCCUUGGGGGACCACCAGUGGCGAAGGCGUCAGACUGGAACACGCCUGACGGUGAGGGACGAAAGCCAGGGGAGCGAACGGGAUUAGAUACCCCGGUAGUCCUGGCCGUAAACGAUGCGUGCUAGGUGUUGGUAGGGCUUUGAGCUGUAUCAGUGCCGUAGGGAAACUGUUAAGCGCGCCGCCUGGGAAGUACGCUCGCAAGGGUGAAACUUAAAGGAAUUGGCGGGGAAGCACCACAAGGGGUGAAGCCUGCGGUUCAAUUGGAUUCAACGCCGGG